rnacentral:tRNA from 1 species
CAUUGUUUUAAUAGUUUAAUAAAAACAUUGGUCUUGUAAGUCAAAAAUAAUUUUAUUUUAAAACU